GAAUGAGUCGAAAUGCAGAAGCUUGCCUAAGAAUGGGAACUGUAAGUGGUGGGGAUCUUAUGCUUGCGUGACAUCACUUGGUUCAUCUCCACCUCUUGCUUCGUCUAUCCACGAGCAUAGUUAUCCACUGGAGGUUGAAGAGUGUAUUUGCGUUCCAAAGGGGGUGUUGUUCUUUUGUUUGCAAAUUGUUUUGUGCGCGACAUUGUGAACUUUGCAAAGUGUUUUUUUUUUUUUUUGGUGAUUUUGUUCUUUAUAAAAAAAAAAACCAAAAAAAAGUGCCUUUCAAGGAAUUUUUAUAUAACCGGUACGAAGGUGGUGUUAAAUAUUUGAUCAGCUUUUUUUUUUUAAAGUGCUCGUGAAUUUUAAUCCGCAAUGGAAUUUUCUCGAAACAAGGCUAAGAGAAGAUAUUGAGGGCUUCCAGAGAGUGAGAAACAGAGAGAGAGAUCUUUUUAUCACAAACCAGUUUCUAGUUGCACACAUUCUGCAACGCUACACGCUCUUUGUUUUUGACUACGAGGGCAAGCGUAACGAGUUUCAAAACUUGUUCUUGCACGCGAGUUCUACAUAUAUGUAUUUAAUUUCUGCACAUCCUGAAAGCAAUCUUCGAAAUUUUUUUUUUACAAAAAAAAAAUGUAAUUCUCUUGUAAAUAUUUGUUUCUUAAUGAAAAUUUGUAAAUUUCCAUAUUGAAAAAAUAAAUAAAUUCAUCGAAUUUCAUUUA